AUACGGAGGGUGCAAGCGUUACUCGGAAUCACUGGGCGUAAAGGACGCGUAGGCGGGUUGGCAAGUCAGAUGUGAAAUCCUACAGCUUAACUGUAGAACUGCAUUUGAAACUGCUAACCUAGAGUAUGGGAGGGGGAGAUGGAAUUAGUGGUGUAGGGGUAAAAUCCGUAGAUAUCACUAGGAAUACCGAAAGCGAAGGCGAUCUCCUGGAACAUAACUGACGCUAAGGCGUGAAAGCGUGGGGAGCAAACAGGAGUAGAUACCCUAGUAGUCC
rnacentral:rRNA from 1 species